GCCGGUGGUCAUGGUGGUGCUCAACACGUCAAAACCAUUCAAGUUGUCCAUGAACAAGCUGGUGCUGCUGCUGGUGGUUAUUCCGGUGGUUACUCCGCUGGCGGUCACGGUGCUGCUGAGGAAGUUAAAACCAUUCAAGUUGUCCACGAACAAGGUGCUAGCGCUGGUGGUUAUUCCGGUGGAUUCUCUGCUGGCGGCCAUGGCCACGGUGCUGCUGAAGAAGUAAAAACCAUUCAAGUUAUCCAUGAACAAGGUGGUGCUGCCGCUGGUGGAGCUCAAGGUGGUUAUUCAUAUGGAGGUGCCAGUUCCGGUGCUGCUCAAGAAGUUAAGACCAUUCAAGUUGUCCAUGAACAAGGUGGUGCUUCGGCUGGGGGAUACUCAUCCGGUGGUUACUCGGCCGGUGGUGCUAGCGCCGCUGCUGAACAAACUAUUAAAGUUAUUCACGAAGAGGCAUCUGCUGGAGGUUAUUCUGCUGGUGGUUAUGGCGGUUUUGCUGAUGCUGGCGCUUCUUCUGCUGCUGGCUCUGGUGGCUUCGACGAUGCACUUGAAACUUUGAAAUCCCUUAAAGUUAUCGGUGCUUUGGGUGCUGAUGGUGGUG